GGAAGUAAAAGUCGUAACAAGGUCUCCGUAGGUGAACUGCGGAGGGAUCAUUACACACAUAUGAAGGCGGGCUGGAACCUCUCGGGGUUACAGCCUUGCUGAAUUAUUCACCCAUGUCUUUUGCGUACUUCUUGUUUCCUUGGUGGGUUCGCCCACCACUAGGACAAACAUAAACCUUUUGUAAUUGCAAUCAGCGUCAGUAACAAAUUAAUAAUUACAACUUUCAACAACGGAUCUCUUGGUUCUGGCAUCGAUGAAGAACGCAGCGAAAUGCGAUAAGUAGUGUGAAUUGCAGAAUUCAGUGAAUCAUCGAAUCUUUGAACGCACAUUGCGCCCUUUGGUAUUCCAAAGGGCAUGCCUGUUCGAGCGUCAUUUGUACCCUCAAGCUUUGCUUGGUGUUGGGCGUCUUGUCUCUAGCUUUGCUGGAGACUCGCCUUAAAGUAAUUGGCAGCCGGCCUACUGGUUUCGGAGCGCAGCACAAGUCGCACUCUCUAUCAGCAAAGGUCUAGCAUCCAUUAAGCCUUUUUUUCAACUUUUGACCUCGGAUCAGGUAGGGAUACCCGCUGAACUUAAGCAUAUCAAUAAGCGGAGGA
rnacentral:rRNA from 1 species